rnacentral:rRNA from 1 species
GACGAACGCUGGCGGCGUGCUUAACACAUGCAAGUCGAACGGGCCCGCUCUCUUUUUUGGGGGUGGGUUGAGUGGCGAACGGGUGAGUAUCCCGUGAGUAACCUGCCCCCUGCUCCUGGAUAACUGCUUGAAAGGGCGGCUAAUACGGGGUGUGCCGGCUGGUCCGCAUGGGCCUGGUCGGGGUAGUUUCAUCUUCGGGUGUUUCGGUGGGGGAUGGGCUCGCGGCCUAUCAGCUUGUUGGUGGGGUGAUGGCCCACCAAGGCGGUGACGGGUAGCCGGCCUGAGAGGGUGGGGGGCCACACGGGGACUGAGACACGGCCCAGACGACGGCGGGAGGCAGCAGUGGGGGGUAUUGCACAAUGGACGGAAGCCUGAUGCAGCGACGUCGCGUGAGGGAUGGAGGCCUUCGGGUGGUGAACCUCUUUCUCUGGUGGUGAAGGCCCUGUCCGUUGCGGCGGGGUUGACGGUAGCCGGGUAUGAAGCGCCGGCUAACUACGUG